GAUGAAGAACGCAGCGAAAUGCGAUAAGUAGUGUGAAUUGCAGAAUUCAGUGAAUCAUCGAAUCUUUGAACGCACAUUGCGCCCCUUGGUAUUCCAUGGGGCAUGCCUGUUCGUGCGUCAUUUGUACCUUCAAGCUUUGCUUGGUGUUGGGUGUUUGUCCUGAGGGACUCGCCUUAAAGUAAUUGGCAGCCAGUGUUUGGUUUUGAAGCGCAGCACAAGUCGCGAUUCAAGGCUAUACACCAGCUUCCACAAGCCUUUUUCACUUUUGACCUCGGAUCAGGUAGGGAUACCCGCUGAACUUAAGCAUAUCAAUAAGCGGAGGA
rnacentral:misc_RNA from 1 species